CAACGCGUGCGGCUCACGAAUCCCUGGCUGACCAAUGGGGUCACGCGAACGACCAGAGGGGUCUUCUUCUUCGUAUCUAUCCCCCGCGAAUCGCAACAGAAUAUGGUUCAUGCUGAUCUCCGUCGAGCGUAACAACCCGGGCCGUGAUCCCUUGGCCUCGGAACUAUAUGGACGAUGCGCUAUCUGCAUGAAGACGCGACGCUGGAGGAGAUGCUGAACCCAAGACAAUCAAGUGUUCAUGCCCCCAGCGUGCGGCGCGGACCUGAGUUCCUCCAGCGCCGCCCUGGCCUGGUCCUGCAGCAGGUUCAUCCGACGCAGCUUGUCGACAAUUAGAGGCUCUCCCAUUCUUGGAUCCACUUAAGCAUUUUAGAGGUGUUGUAUUCUACUAUCAAAGGUUAGCAUGAUUGUUUCUACACAUCUCCUACUCCCUUCUUUGCUUAGUAAUGGUUGAUAAGUAUAAGCACAUGAAUAGUAUGGAAGAAAAAAAGAUAAUACAUUAUUACAAAAAGUAACUUGGUCUUGGUUCAUUUUCUGAAUGAAAGUAGUCUCUUGUUGUUCUUAUGCUUCCUCUAAUAUAACUUUUAUUUUAUAUAACAUAUGUUAAGUAAUACAAUGUCGAGCUUGUGUGUAUUGGGGUUUUUUAUUGGGGUAUAAAGUUUAUAUGCAUUCUUCUGGUAUAUUUCGGUUGAUGCUAAUUUUUAGAUAAAAUGAUAGUGGGGAGGCUUAGCUGGUAGUAUACUUUGAGUUCGGUGCACUUGGAUCCGUUCACAAUUCUCUUUGUCAUCUGCUUCUGUUCAUGUUCUUUUCCGAAUAUACCAUUCAACACAAAGGCAAACACCCUUUAGUGUUUCUCUUCAUGUUCUUUUCCAGUUACAUCGGUUGCUCUGUGAGACAACCACUCACUUGCAUUUCUUAAGAAGCAUCGACAGUUAUCUGUAGCAGUCCCAUAGUACCUCUCGCGUCAACAAACAUGAAACAUAUAACAACCUAGGGAGACUGUCCGCAUAAGCUCACUUGAAAUCAGAACCUCGAUGACGACAUGAUGACUGAUGAGAUUAAAUGGCUUUAGAAAGUAAACGACAUGAUAAUUGAUCAGAAACUCGAUGACGACAUGAGAAUUGAUGAGAAUAAAAGGCUUUACAAAGUAAUAACUUUUUUGAGCUUCUGGCAACAUAUAUUUUCAUGAGGAUUUUUAUGGGCUACAGCGGAAAGUAUGUUUAAUAUAGCUUCAGGUUGUUCGACGACUACCAUGAUGAGGAUUUUUAUGGGCUACUGCAGAAAUACAAUAUUGUCGCUCGAGUAGAUGUUAAAUUCCCGAUUGAACCAGUUAUCGUGACAGAUAACAUUUUAUUUUAUCUGACAUCAAUGUAAGCCAACAAUUCUUUAAGUUUCAUUUACAAAGUUACACGAUCUUCAUACCAUCGCCUAUUCUCCUACUGAAAUACUAUUAGGGAGCCAAGAUCGAGGCCAUAACAUCUUGGUAUGAGACAGUCAAUAUCUCUACAAUUGUCGAUAUAUUGUUUGUUUUCAUGUAAUUGUUGUGCA